ACUCCUUUCUUUUUCCAUUUAGCUUUUAUUGUUUGUUUGGGUUUGUAACUAUGUGACCAUUGGAAGUGGAAGAGCUAUUUGAUGAGACUUCAUCAGAUGACUGUACAAGAAGGAAUUAGAUAGAUUAGAGAGAAAAAAGAACAGAUGAGAAAAAAUGAUAAUGAUAAAUAAAUAAAGGAAUUUUAGAUUGGGCCAGGAAUCCAAGUUUGGGACGGUAUGGAUAAAAGAACUUCCUAUGUUAUACUAUUCAAUUUCGACGACGAAUUGAUUUGAUAGUUCAGAUAUUGUUAUUCAUGAUACUGAUCUGAUUCAAGAUCAUCGAGAGGUAAUAUUCAUUCAUUGAAUUUACAGGCC
rnacentral:lncRNA from 1 species